rnacentral:rRNA from 1 species
UACGUAGGGCGCAAGCGUUGUCCGGAAUUAUUGGGCGUAAAGAGCUCGUAGGCGGCCAGUUGCGUCUGCUGUGAAAUCCCGGGGCUCAACCCCGGGCGUGCAGUGGAUACGGGCUGGCUAGAGGCAGGCAGGGGAGAACGGAAUUCCCGGUGUAGCGGUGAAAUGCGCAGAUAUCGGGAGGAACAUCAGUGGCGAAGGCGACACCCUGGACUCAUACUGACACUGAGGUGCGAAAGCGUGGGAGCAAACAGG